rnacentral:rRNA from 1 species
UACGGAGGGGGCUAGCGUUGUUCGGAAUUACUGGGCGUAAAGCGCACGUAGGCGGACCGACAAGUCGGGGGUGAAAUCCCGGGGCUCAACCCCGGAACUGCCUCCGAAACUGUCGGUCUGGAGGAUGAGAGAGGCGAGUGGAAUUCCGAGUGUAGAGGUGAAAUUCGUAGAUAUUCGGAGGAACACCAGUGGCGAAGGCGGCUCGCUGGCUCAUUUCUGACGCUGAGGUGCGAAAGCGUGGGGAGCAAACAGG